UUGACCUAACCCCCCAAAUCCCCAAUCAUUAACUUGCGACUGCGCUCUCUAUUCUCUAACCCCUACUACUCAGUCGCUCUCGCUCUCUCUUCUCCAAAUCCCCAAAGCACGACGCCACCCACAGCACCACGUCAAAGCCUUCCUCUUCGCGGAGACGCCACCCACAGCACGACGCCGUCGCCCACGCACAACACCAUGCCGUCGCCCACGCACAGCACUACGCUGUCGCCGUUGAGACGCCACCACCCAGCACCAGCAGUGUUUCUGGGUUCUCCCACUCAGCGCCACUAUCAUCAGUUCAACCUACUCCCAGCACGGCAGCACCUCCGAGUCUCCCAGUCAGCCUUCCUCCCAAGUCAACAUGGAGCCCGAGCCACCGAUUCAGUUUGACGUUAGUUCAAAUGAGAAUAUGGGUGAAUCCGGAUUGUUGCCAGUUCCUCUUUUGAAUGAAUCAACAAGCAUCAGAUCUCCGACUGCAUUGCCUCCUGUCCCAACUCCUCAUUGAAACACAACAAAGCUUGCUAGUAGAGGCCGAGAAAAAAGGCGGGCUAUUGAAGAAGCUCCCGUUGAUGACUCCGCUGAAACUGAGACUGACGAAGGUAAGAGAAAACCUUGUAGGCCUAGGUCAUGGACAUGGGAUCACUUCACUAAAGAUGAAACUAGUAAUCCACAAUAUCCUAGAGCUAAAUGCAAUUGGUGUGGGGCUAGUUAUGCUUGUGAUACACAUAAAAAAGGCACUAUUAACAUGAAAAAUCACUUGUUGUCGCAAUGCAAAAAAUUUCCGAAGGAAGCAUUAGAUCCUAUCCAAAAGAUUUUUUGUUUUCAAUAUGUGAUAAAAGAUGAUAGGAAAGGAAUAGGUAGUUCACUUUCUGCCGUGUCAUUUGAUGUUGAUCGUUGUAGACAAGCACUUGCUAGAAUGAUUAUUGUAGAUGAAUUGCCUUUUUUGCAUGUUGAGGGGGAGAGUUUUCGUUAUUAUACGAGUUGUUUGCAACCCAAGUUUCCAAUUCCUGGAAGGCUCACGGUUGCUAGGGAUUGUUGGAGGAUUGGAACUCACAUCCAUUAAGGGGAGAGUUUUUACAUGUUAGAUGUUGUGUUCAUAUUUUAAAUCUUGUUGUGAAUAAUGGGUUGAGAGAAAUGCAUGAGUCAAUUUUAAAGAUUAGAAAUGCAGUUCGGCAUGUGCGUGCAUCACCGGGUCGUACUGAGAGGUUUAAAACUAGGAUUAAGGAAGCUAGAAUUAUGGAAAAAGGCACUGUCCAUUUAGAUGUUCCUACCAGGUGGAACUCUACCUUUUUAAUGUUUGAAAGUGCUUUGAAGUUUCAAAAGGCAUUUAAACGUUUGGGAGAGAGAGAUUCUGAAUAUGCUAUGCUGGCUGGUGGGAUUCCUAAGUCUGAGGAUUGGGAGAAUACAAGACAUUUUGUCAAGUUUUUAAAAAUAUUUUAUGAGGUUACUAACAAAGUUUCUGGUUCAACGUUUGUGACAUCUUCUCAACACUUUAAUGACUUUUGUAAAAUAUUGUCACCACUUAAGCAUUGGAUGGGAAGCUUGGAUAUGGUACUUUCAGGCAUGGCUGAGAAAAUGAAGUCCAAGUAUGAUAAGUAUUGGGGAAAUAUCAAAAACACAAACAUAAUGAUUUUCAUUGCAGUUGUUCUUGAUCCUAGGUAUAAGCUUCAAUUGAUUAAGUGGAGUUUUGAAAAGUUGUAUGAAAAAGAAGAUGCUGAAUUCUUAACUUCAAAGGUGAAGGAUACACUUUUCAAGGUGUUUGAUAGCUAUAGGCUAUUUGGUGGUAACUAUAAAAGAUCUACUCGGCAAGAUCCUCCUGAAAUAAGCACACACGAGCUUGAGGCACAUAAAACUUCUUUUGCUAUGGAAUUUGAAAAGGAAAUGCAAUUCAAUGAGAGUGCUAACAAGAAUGAGGUGGAGUUAUAUCUUAUGGAGGCAUUAAAAAAGACUGGCGUGCAGUUUGACAUUCUAAAUUGGUAGAAAGUGAAUUCCACUAAAUAUCCAAUUCUUGGGCAGAUUGCAAGAGACGUCUUAGCCAUGCCAGUUUUCACAGUUGCUUCAGAAUCGGCAUUUAGUACUGGAGGAAGGGUGUUGAAUAAUUAUAGGAGUUCUCUAACUCCGAUGAUAGCUGAAGCGUUAAUUUGUACACAAAAUUGGCUCCGAAACUCUCCAAAACUUGUCCUUGAGGAACUCAUCGAGGAAUUGGAGAAGUUGGAAUUAGAAGUUGCACCCACUCCUGAUCCCAAUGAAGAAGAUUCUGGUGUUGAGUGUGAUUGAAUACAUCUUGUUAUGGUUGGUUUGCAUUAAGAAGUUUAACUAUUUUAUUGGAGAAGACACCAUAACUUUGCUAUCAGUUUAAUGACAAUUUAUUUUUAUUUUCAGUUGUGUUGACUGUUGAACUAUUGAACUUCUUUAAUUAUCGUAUUUGAAUUCUGUUGUCGUUAAAUUUCAUUAGAUCAAGACUUUGUUA